CCUACGGGAGGCAGCAGUGGGGAAUUUUGGACAAUGGGCGAAAGCCUGAUCCAGCCAUUCCGCGUGAGUGAAGAAGGCCUUCGGGUUGUAAAGCUCUUUCGCAAGGGAAGAAAACUUAGGCGCUAAUAUCGCCUGAGGUUGACGGUACCUUGAUAAGAAGCACCGGCUAACUACGUGCCAGCAGCCGCGGUAAUACGUAGGGUGCGAGCGUUAAUCGGAAUUACUGGGCGUAAAGCGUGCGCAGGCUGUUUUGUAAGUCAGAUGUGAAAUCCCUGAGCUCAACUUAGGAACUGCGUUUGAAACUACAAGACUAGAAUAUGUCAGAGGGGGGUAGAAUUCCACGUGUAGCAGUGAAAUGCGUAGAGAUGUGGAGGAAUACCAAUGGCGAAGGCAGCCCCCUGGGAUAAUAUUGACGCUCAUGCACGAAAGCGUGGGGAGCAAACAGGAUUAGAUACCCUGGUAGUCCACGCCCUAAACGAUGUCUACUAGUUGUUGGUGGAGUAAAAUCCAUGAGUAACGCAGCUAACGCGUGAAGUAGACCGCCUGGGGAAGUACGGUGCAAGAUUAAAACGUUCAAAUUGAAUUGACGGCUUGAGAGNGCGAGACGACGACGAGGAGGAGG
rnacentral:rRNA from 1 species